rnacentral:lncRNA from 1 species
GCAGAUGAUGCAGAACAGGACUAAGAAAAUGCAGGAAACAUUUGCACGGCUAGGAAAGCUGAGAUGCUUCUUCAAAUUGCAAGGGAUAAGAAUUUUGAAGGGGCAGUUCCUUGUCCAUAAAAUUGGUUCCAGAUUUGAGAUUUUGGGAGCUCUUUCCUCAAUGAAAUCAGGAUACAUCACAUCUAAGAUGGAGAGAAGGAAAUGGAAGACCAUUCCAGUAUCCAAGAAAAUCUCAACUGGUGUCAUGAAGAGUAGGAUGUCACUGAAAUGCAUGAACAACAACAUCUUUGCCAAGAAAACUCCAAAUGGGGUCAUAAAAAAAUGAAAAAUGAUUGAAAUGACUGAACAACCCAAGACAUGCGAAUGGUCAUCUUUAUGCUUAUUUCACAUCAUUAAAUUUUGCUAUUUAAUAUUUUAUUUAAUAUUAAAUAUUUAUUAAUAAUAUUAAAUAUUUGCUAGAAAAGGUUUCUAACCUAAAAACCCUUACAGAUUUUUCUUGGUUUAACCAUCUUAAUUGUCUAUUGAUAUUUUGAAAUCGAAAAGUUUAGUCAUAACUGUGUAUAAUAUUUUAUUUCUUAAUAUUCAAGUUCACCUUAGAGAAAAAACCCUUACAGAUUUUUCUUGGUUUAACCAUCUUAAUUGUCUAUUGAUAUUUUGAAAUCGAAAAGUUUAGUCAUAACUGUGUAUAAUAUUUUAUUUCUUAAUAUUCAAGUUCACCUUAGAGAAAAAACCCUUACAGAUUUUUCUUGGUUUAACCAUCUUAAUUGUCUAUUGAUAUUUUGAAACCGAAAAGUUUAGUCAUAACUGUGUAUAAUAUUUUAUUUCUUAAUAUUCAAGUUCACCAGGGGAUGUGGCAAAGUGGGGACAUUAAUUCAUUGCUGGUGGAGUUGUGAAUUGAUCCAACCAUUCUGGAGGGCAAUUUGGAACUAUGCCCAAAGGGCGAUAAAAGACUGUCUGCCCUUUGAUCCAGCCAUAGCACUGCUGGGCUUGUACCCCAAAGAGAUAAUGGACAAAAAGACUUGUACAAAAAUAUUCAUAGCUGCGCUCUUUGUGGUGGCCAAAAAUUGGAAAAUGAGGGGAUGCCCCUCAAUUGGGGAAUGGCUAAACAAAUUGUGGUAUAUGUUGGUGAUGGAAUAUUAUUGUGCUAAAAGGAAUAAUAAAGUGGAGGAAUUCCAUGUGAACUGGAACA